rnacentral:rRNA from 1 species
CGAGCGCAACCCCUAUUGUAGUUGCCAUCAUUCAGUUGGGCACUCUAGCGAGACUGCCGGUAUAAACCAGAGGAAGGUGGGAUGACGUCAAAUCAUCAUGCCCCUUAUGACCUGGGCUACACACGUGCUACAAUGGUUGGUACAACGAGUUGCGAGUCGGUGACGGCGAGCUAAUCUCUUAAAGCCAAUCUCAGUUCGGAUUGUAGGCUGCAACUCGCCUACAUGAAGUCGGAAUCGCUAGUAAUCGCGGAUCAGCACGCCGCGGUGAAUACGUUCCCGGGCCUU